GCUGGGUGUGGCGGCAAUGCACCUGUAGCUCCAGCUACUUGGGAGGCUGAGGUGGGAGGAUCGCCUUGAGCCCAGGAAUGCAAGACCAGCCUGGGAAAUACGGUGAGAUCCUGUCUCUG
rnacentral:sRNA from 1 species